rnacentral:lncRNA from 1 species
GGUUCUGAGACAUGAGCUCCAGCCCAGCAGUAGCGGUAGCGUUCCAGUCGCAGAGACAUAGUGAGUCCUCAUUGAUUCAAGGACAAUAUGAUUUGAUUUAUUUAUUUAUUCUUCAGGUCAGUUUUACGGAGUUAGUUGGAGAUAUGUUUCUUCAACUCCUUAUUCAGACAGUUUAGAGGCUUUCGGAUUUACUUUCAGAUUGAGUUGUUUUGGUUAUUUUCACCCACAUGAUUGUAUUCAGUUGAACCUAAUGGCCUUAUAGUUUUAUGUAU